GCCCAAACACACAAACUAAGAGAUGACUGACUUAGAAGGUUUAGAGGAAGCAGAUGCAGCAACCAGCUGACCAAAAGGGUUGGACAACAAGGGUUUGCUUAUGCUUGAUACAUGUAGAUGCUAAGGAGAGAGCAACCCCAUCAUACCUCAAAAGAUCCC